UGGCCCCGAGAGGGGGGGGCCUCCUACAUGCAGUCGAACGAACUUCCGUUAAUUGAUUAUGACGUACUUGUACUGAUUGAGAUUUUAACACGAAGUGAGUGGCGAACGGGUGAGUAACACGUGGGUAACCUGCCCAGAAGUAGGGGAUAACACCUGGAAACAGAUGCUAAUACCGUAUAACAGAGAAAACCGCAUGGUUUUCUUUUAAAAGAUGGCUCUGCUAUCACUUCUGGAUGGACCCGCGGCGUAUUAGCUAGUUGGUGAGGUAAAGGCUCACCAAGGCAGUGAUACGUAGCCGACCUGAGAGGGUAAUCGGCCACAUUGGGACUGAGACACGGCCCAGACUCCUACGGGAGGCAGCAGUAGGGAAUCUUCCACAAUGGACGCAAGUCUGAUGGAGCAACGCCGCGUGAGUGAAGAAGGGUUUCGGCUCGUAAAGCUCUGUUGUUAAAGAAGAACGUGGGUAAGAGUAACUGUUUACCCAGUGACGGUAUUUAACCAGAAAGCCACGGCUAACUACGUGCCAGCAGCCGCGGUAAUACGUAGGUGGCAAGCGUUAUCCGGAUUUAUUGGGCGUAAAGCGAGCGCAGGCGGUCUUUUAAGUCUAAUGUGAAAGCCUUCGGCUCAACCGAAGAAGUGCAUUGGAAACUGGGAGACUUGAGUGCAGAAGAGGACAGUGGAACUCCAUGUGUAGCGGUGAAAUGCGUAGAUAUAUGGAAGAACACCAGUGGCGAAGGCGGCUGUCUGGUCUGCAACUGACGCUGAGGCUCGAAAGCAUGGGUAGCGAACAGGAUUAGAUACCCUGGUAGUCCAUGCCGUAAACGAUGAUUACUAAGUGUUGGAGGGUUUCCGCCCUUCAGUGCUGCAGCUAACGCAUUAAGUAAUCCGCCUGGGGAGUACGACCGCAAGUUGAAACUCAAAGAAUUGACGGGGGCCCGCACAAGCGGUGGAGCAUGUGGUUUAAUUCGAAGCUACGCGAAGAACCUUACCAGGUCUUGACAUCUUCUGACAUUCUAAGAGAUUAGAGGUUCCCUUUGGGGACAGAAUGACAGGGGUGCAUGGUUGUCGUCAGCUCGUGUCGUGAGAUGUGGGUAAGUCCCCGCAACGAACCCAACCUUAUUACUAGUUGCAGCAUUUAGUUGGCCCCUCCUAGUGAGACUGCCGGUGACAAACCGGGAGAGGGGGACGACGUCAAUCCUCAUGUCCUUUUUGACUGACUACCACGGCCUUACAUGCAUGGUAAACGAGUCUCGAUACCGCCAGAGCUUAGCAUAAU
rnacentral:rRNA from 1 species